GACGAACGCUGGCGGCGUGCUUAACACAUGCAAGUCGAACGGAAAGGCCCUGCUUUUGUGGUGUUCUCGAGUGGCGAACGGGUGAGUAACACGUGAGUAACCUGCCCUUGACUUUGGGAUAACUUCAGGAAACUGGGGCUAAUACCGGAUAGGAGCUCCUGCUGCAUGGUGGGGGUUGGAAAGUUUCGGCGGUCGGGGAUGGACUCGCGGCUUAUCAGCUUGUUGGUGGGGUAGUGGCUUACCAAGGCUUUGACGGGUAGCCGGCCUGAGAGGGUGAGCGGCCACAUAGGGACUGAGAUACGGCACAGACUCCGAAGGGAGGCAGAAGGGGGGAAGAUUGCACAAGGGGCGGAAGCCUGAUGCAGCAACGCCGCGUGCGGGAUAACGGCCUUCGGGUUGUAAACCGCUUUCGCCCGUGAAGAAGCGUGAGUGACGGUAAUGGGUAAAGAAGCACCGGCUAAAUACGUG
rnacentral:rRNA from 1 species